rnacentral:lncRNA from 1 species
GCAGGAUGACGAUCGGGUCAAUCCUGUGACACAUUGGGACACCUGCCGCUGCAGAACGUAUCCGCUGAAGAUCCCAAGCCCUUUUUUGCAACUUACCGAAUUUGUAUGAGAUAUUUCAAGGUAAGUAGCAAGUGAAUUUUUAUGUUUCUGUCAACCAAGUCAAUGACUCUACUGAGAUUUGGUGUACAAGUAGUACCUGUGGAGAUGAAUAAUUUUCCGUGGGUGUAGCUCGUACUGCACUACUCCCACCUAUUGGCCCAAGAAGACGUUCGGGCGUGUGACAUGAGAACUGACAACACCGGGAACUUCCCAGGCCUCGGGUUUUAUUUUGGAGAUUUCCUUGUAGCUAGAUUACUAACCAAGGUUAAAGAGUUUCUAACUGCCCAUGAGCUAGGCUAUCCCGUGCCAGACACAAAACCGACACUCAAACACUCCGUAGAGUGGUUAAAUAUCGUUCCGGUGUCCGAGGUAGAGCAGCUCAUUCAUAUAUACAUACGUACAUACACACAUACAUACAUACAUACAUACAUGCAUACAUACAUACAUAUAUACAUACAUACAUACAUAAGAAAAUAAAAUUAAAAAACGAUAUAUUCAUAUUUACAUAUAUUUGUGGAUAGCCGUUGACUACAGAUGACUUCUUCGACCCUUUGACGGGUCUAACUUUUAGUCCCGCAGCGUAUCCAACGAUCACCAUCCUCACCAAGCAAGCUUGGUGGGUUUGCCGAUAUAACAGGUUGUACUGGGUUACAUGCCAACAGUAGCGAACAAGAGCAACUAAUAUCAAUCGAGAGCGAUAUGACUAAUGUGUGUGUGUGUUUAUUUGUUUGUUUGUGCGUUGUGUGUGCAUGUACGACUGAAAAGAUGCACAUUUGGAAUGUGAUCAAAUGAGGUUUAAUGUUUGUCAUAGUUGCCCUUACGGUACAAACACUUCUUCCACCAGUGAUGCAGUGAUUGGAUCACAUUGGUUGAGAAACUUUUAUUCUGUUGCUCAUCACUAUCCUCAACAGUAGAUAUGACGUUAUUAUCACUGUGAUACGGUUUUUUCAUAUUGGGGUACAUUUGACAGCUAAAUAUGACCAAAUCAGAAGAAAUGGGGAUAUGAUAACCAGUCAAAAGCUACAGUCAGGCACAGCAGACAAUGAAACCAAGGAAUUGUGUGCUGGAGUAUUGCCCUAAUAAAAUAAGACCCCAUUUAUCAAUUUUGCUGGGCCUUUAACUGCCUGAAAAAAUUUGCAUCCUAAGAAAGUGUGAUUAUCGUCUUCCCUACAGCUGGAACGACUUUGGCCUUCUUUGGAGUGGGUGAGAAUGGGUGUUCGCAAUGCAUCGAUAGUGUCAUUGUCUUUGGCUUAAAAUAAUGAAGCCAACAUUGAUCCUGGUUCAGGAAACGUUCAAGGAAACCAAGAAGUGUCAGACAUUUUGGUGCUCUCCGAGUAGAACAAAUUCGGCAUGCCUAGCUCGUUGUGCAGAAUAUAUUCUAAAUUUUUGCAUGGUUUAUUCUAAUAGCAUUGUCUCUUUGAUUCAUAGUAAAUUACCUGCCAUCCACCGUAAUAUUUUCGUCGGUGGUGGCACUUUCAAGAUGGCCAAACCUUGGGCCAUCUUCACAACUCUCUCUCUUCUCCUCCUAAAUUCAGCUGCCUACUUUUGCACAGUCGAUAAAGAUGGAGCAUCAUCCCUUAACGUCAUCAUGAAUGUUGUUGGUGGCUAAACCCUUUUGUGCAGAUACUUGAUAACACUAAAAUGCCAAAUGUUAUCGCUACAAGUUACACUGGAAGUCAUCUUCAACAGUCAGAUGUCAGUUUACCUGUAAAGUAACAAUUCAUUUAUCAAUAAGAUGGGUGGUACUUAAUGCAUGCAAGGUUUUGCAGCUUCGGCAUCCUUCCUUCAUAGUCACCGCUGAACUUUACAACCUAAUCUCUUAUAUAAUUUAACUUUUACUGUAUUCAGUCACUAGGCUGUAGACAUGCUCUGGCACCACCUUGGAAAACAUUAGUUAAGCAAAACGAUCGCAGUGCGUUGCUGUUUAAAGCUUGCUACUUAUUAUAUCGGCUUCUGUUGCUGAAGCGGUAUGUUACGGGACCGUAAUCACACCAACACCGGUUGGUGGGGGAUAUACAGACACAAAAAACACACGCACACAUAUAUGUAUGUAUAAAUACAUACACACACAGAGACAUAUUUAUAUAUAUAUUUUAAUUGUAUAUACAUAUACAUACUGAUUUGGGAAGUUCUCUGGCAUAUGUGUGUGCAUCUUUGUCUGUGGAUAUGUGUGUGUAUUUGCACAUUUGUGCGUGUGUAUAUAUGUAUGCGUAUAAUUAAAAGAGAUUAAUACCCACAAACAGUUCUGAGAUGCAGAAACAAUAGUUACACUAAUCCAUAGGAAUGGCGAAGCACAUAUAAAGCGGAACAUAUAAUAGCCACACAUAUAUAUAUCGAUGUAUAUAAAUAUAAAUAACUGCAUAUUUAGACAAAACGUAAGAUUUAUAUAAUUCCCUUGGUGAACAUCGAUUUUGUCCAUAUCCUUUGUUGUUUUUGAAUGAGUCUGAAAAUAUCAAUUAAAUUCCUUGUUUAUUCCUCUCAUUUCUUUUGUGGUUAGCAAUCAAUAUAAUUCCAUUUGGUAGUUUAGCGUACAUACUCAUUUAAAUUUGACCUGUUGUAACGCAAUCCCCAUCACCAUUUAUACAUUCUUAUGUUUUCACUUUGUAUACAAGUGGCAGAUAAUUGCAACGGCUAAAUCGAUAUGUUUCAGUUUGAUUAAAAGCCUUUCAUAUCACUAUGUACAUAUCUGUGUAAGUGUGGUAUAUGCGUGUGUGUAUCUCUCGCCCUCUUUCUCACUCUCUUUUUCUCACCCCCUUUCACUCUCUGUCACCCUCUUGCACUCUCUCGCUCUCUUUUUCUCUUUCUCUCACCCCUUGUCUCCUCCUCCUCUCUCUCUCUCUCUCUGUAAGUAUAUGUGUGUUUCGGUUUUGUGUGUCACUGAAUAUCUAAGUAAUCACCCUGGCUAUCUUUAGAAGAAUUUAUUUCGCGAAUACAAUUGAUUAUUUUUUUAAAAAUCUCAUUACCAUCAUCGCCACAGCCACUUCCACCACCAUUAUCAUGAUGAAGAUGUUGAUGAUGAUGAUUAUGAUUAUGAUCAUCACCAGCAUCAUCAUCAUCAUCAUUCAUUUAAUUUGAAUAAACCUCAGAUAUGAUGUGGUAUCCAAUUUAAUUUAAAUAUUUGAAGCGAAAAUGCAUAUAAAAAGGGACAUUUUCGCAUAACUACGUACUCUGGAAAUGAGUAAUCUCGAGUUUUAGAUACGAAUAUAUAUUCAUAUUCUUUAUAUAUUUUCUUUAUAUUCUGUGUGUAUAUAUAUAUAUAUAUAUAAUAUAAAUAUAUAUACACACACAUAUAUAUAUAUAUAUAUAUAUAUAAAUAUAUAUAUACACGUACACACUCACACACCCAAAAACUAACGCACGCACGCAUGUAUAUAUAUAUAUACACAUAUUGCUAAUAUGCUUAUGUAGAUUUAUGCGUGUUUAUCUGUGUUUGUGCGAGUGAAUAUCUACGUAUUAUCUAUUUAAAAUUAUUGAUUGUAAAAGAUGCAUGUUAUCUUAGCGUUUUAAGUUUGUAGAUGAGGAUCGUAUCCAUAUACCAACCACGUUUCCUUCAACAUCGAUGCAGUAUUAUUCGCUUCUACUCUAAGCACAAGACCCGAAAUUUUGGCGGAGGGUACCAGUCAAUUAGAUCCACCCUAGUACACAACUGGUACUUAAUUUAUCGAACCUGAAAACACUAAAGCCAAAAUCAACCUCGGUGGAAUUUGAACGCAGAACACAAAGAGAGACGAAAUAUUGAUGCCGUAAUAUUGUUUCUUGUACUAAGAUGGUGAGCCGACUGACAUGUUAGCACACCGGGCGAAAUGCUUUGUGCUAUUUUGUCUGUCUUUACGUUCUGAGUGUAAAUGCCACCGAAGUCGAAUUUGCCUUUCAUCUUUUCGAUGUCGAUGAAUUACGAAGCAGUUUUCACUGGGGUCGAUCUAAUCGACUGGUCCUUCCCUAAAAUUUCAGGCCUUGGGCUUAGAGUAGAAAACAGUAUUGUUUCUUGUCCUUAUCAACUGUUUCUGUUUAACAAUAAUACUUUGUUGGGUGCAUAAAAUCGUAACUCCAUGCAUGUAUGAUGUUUGUAGUAAAAAAGAAAAUUUGGCAAACUAUGUUAUGUGGGACUUACUACAAAUUUGAAAAAUGCUAAACCGUCGUUCUGCUUUUUAACAAUUAUCAUAUCCUAGCAUCUGAAGGUAGAGAUACGAUAUUUUGACCAAAAGAACUGGCUAUUGCAAGGAAAAUUAAAUGUUGAAAUCAACGCAUUUGGCCAAAUUUUGACAUACGGCAGUUUAACAUAAUAGCAACGAUAUGUAAGAAAAAUUAAAAACGUAGCCACAUGUGUGUAUGAGUGUGUGUUCGUGUGUGAUGUAUGUUUACAUAUAUAUAUAUAAGUGUAUAUGUAGACAUGUAUAUGUGUGUGGGGGUGCGUGUGUAUGAGUGUGUAUGUGUGUGUGUGUGUGAGUGCGUAUAAAUGUAUAUAUAUGCGUGUAUAAAUUUGAAGGUGAGGCUGUGUAUUGUUUCACUUGUCAGCGUCUGAAUUGAUGUUUACAUCGGUUAAAGAGAUUUUGUCGUCAAUUGUCUGUUAUCUCGACAACAGUUGGUGUUCGACAAUAAACACAGAUAGUAUAAGAGCAAGUCAGGAAUUAGCUGUGAAUUCAAUAUGCUAUACAGAAAUUUGGAAAUGACGAUGCUCAAAUAUGACUAAAGGCUCCAGGCUGGAAGCUGUAAAAUGUUAAACAAAUACAAUUAUAACACACUCUUUUACAAUAUGGAAAACUCAUUAUACUAAUUAUCAUUAGCACCAUUAGCUUCCUCUUCAUCACUGACAAUAUUUUCACCGUCAUCAUACCUAUCAUCAUUUUUUCAUCGUCAUCAUCGUCGUCUUCAUCAUCAUCAUAAUCAUCAUCAUCAUUAUGGUCAUCUUCCUCGUCAUCAACUGCAUCAUCAUCAUCGUCACCCUCGUCGUCACCAUCUUCAUCCCUAUCCUCCUCAUCCUCCUCAUCAUUAUCAUUAUCAUCAUCAUGGUUAAUUUCCUCGUCAUCAACUGCAUCAUCGUCAUCGUCAUCGUCGUCCAUUUCAUCCCCAUCCGCAUUCCCAUUAUUAUCACCAUCAUCCUCAACAUUGUCGUCGUCAUCAUCAUCAUCAUCAUCAUCAUCAUCAUCAUCAUCAUCAUCAUCAUCACCAUCAGUAACAAUAUUUUCUUUAAUUUUUCCAGUGAUACCCCCACUUUUUAAUUAACAAUAUUUUCAUCAUCAUCUCCAGAAUAGCACUCAAUGUCAUCAUACCACUCUUCCCAGUCUUUUGCUAUGAUCUCCAAGAGAAGCAAUAUCCUUAUUUUCCUCUUCCACCUCGUCCUCCUCGUUGUCACCGUUUCAUCAGAAGUAGUUCUCACUGUAUUCUGGACGUAAGUAUCAUGUUUUCAGUGCAAAUGAAAUAACCAUUGUCAACAAUCUUGUUAUCAUUUUUAUCAUUCUCAUUUUCGGCGAUGUCGUUUUACUUCUUCGUUAUCAUUGUUUAUAUGUGUCAUCGUCUUCAUUAUUGUCGUCACAGUGAUCAUCAUCACCAUCGUCUUAAUCACGUCUUUGCCACUACAGGUACUACCUCCACCGCUGCCGCCAAAUGCAGCAGCAGCAACACCAAUUCUGCCACCACCGCCUUCAUCAUCAUCAUCAUCAUCAUCAUCAUCAUCAUCAUCAUCAUCAUCAUCAUCAUCAUCAUCAUCAUCAUCAUCAUCAUCGUCGGCGUUAUCAUCAUUAUCAUCAUCAUCAUCAUCAUCAUCAUCGUCGCCGUUAUCAUCAUAAGCAGCAGCAGCAGUGGCAGCAGCUACAGCAUCUUUCACGUCAUCACAGACAGCUUUUCCGAAUGAGAAAUUAAUUUAAUUUGAAUGGAAAAUUGCAAAGAAAUUAUGAGAAGCUUUCUAAUGGAUAUUGACUUUCGGAAGCGCCAAUUGAAUUGUGACUGAUUUCAAUACACCAAAAUUAUCCCAACAAUAUAUUCCUCCGCUUCUCCGUACUAUCACAUCUAUGCUCUGCCUUCCCCUUCACACAAUAUGUCUCCCCCCCCCCCCCCAUAAUACACUUUCCCCGUCUCCACGCAUAACCCUCUUCUAAUCAGCAUAUGUACACCCCUCAUUCUCAGCUAAUUUCUAUUUGAUACCCACAUUAUGCCUAAUUCAUUCUAUUUAUAAUUUUUGAAUAUUAUUACAAAUAGGAAAGAAUAUAUUAAAGCAUAUGAAAUCCUUCAAUCAUAUUGAAAUUUCAAAUGAUUUAAUUAAAUCGAAAAUAAAAUAAAAAGCGUUUCAAAAAUUCCUUUUAUUGAAAAUACAAGAUUUUAAGGAUUUUAAGUAGAAAAUUAUGAAAAAAAUAGGAUAAUUUUUCUUCUUCAUUUUUAAAGAAAAAUAAAAUCAUAAUAAAUAUAGUUGAAGUAGCAAAGGAACGAAAAGAAGAAAAGCAGUUACAACAACAGCAACAAUAACAACAACAGGUUAAUCAUAAUUUGAAGCCAACAGCAUCUACGGCAAACAACAAUCAAAGCAUAUUACGAAUUUGAAGUGUUUUGGCAAUAGAUUACUUUUUCUGACAGUUCUUUAGUAAUGUUAUUAAUUAAAAUAUUUCACGUCUGAAUGGUCUGGUCUGAUGCAAGCUUCAUUAUGCACCAAUACUGACACGUAGAUGUGGGGAUUCACAGGAAAUUUAAUUCUCUCAUUAUAUAUAUAUAUAUAUAUAUAUAUAUAUAUAUAUAUAGAUAGAUAGAUAGAUAGAUAGAUAGAUAGAUAGAUAGAUAGAUAGAUAGAUAGAUAGAUAGAUAGAUAUAGAUAUGCACACACACAUACGUACGUGUAUGUGUGGCGGCGGGUGUAUGUGUGUAUAUUAAUAUUACGAGUGAUAGAGAGAGAGAGAAGGAGAGAAUGAGACAGCUGGAUAGAUAGAGAUAUGUAUGUAACUAUGUUUGUACAUGUGCGAGUCCAUACACGCAGAAGUAUAAUUUUUCAUUUUAAUUCAUUGUCCAUACUGAUACAUAAUCAUUGUUACCUAUUCUCUGCGUCUUUCUGUUUUGUGCCCCAGAUGCAAAAUACUUCUUAUCAUCCGUCUAUACAAAAUCUCUUUUUCGUUAAUCGUAGGUGAUUACAUCUCCUUUUUGUGGGAAUGGUAAUCAUUUUAAAACUUUAUAACUGUGACUGAUUAAGAUAAUGUAUAACUUAUCAAUUCUCAUCAUAUCCUUUAUUAUCUAUUUAGUUGGUAGCCAAUCUUUCUUUAACCGGAGAUCCGCGUUGCUGUUUUUGUCUAGUUAAUGAAUAUAAAUGUUUCUGAGACUAUACCUCAUAGUAAAUUCCUUUAUAUCUUGCUCAUAUAUUUGGACUACAACGCCGUUUUAUUCGAACGAUGUAACUUACAUUUGGUCAGAAAUUGCAAUAAACCUACAGUUAUAAAAUAAAAGCCAAUGAGACAGCACUAUUUCAUUAAAUAUACAUCUGGAUAUUUUAUAAACUGCUAAGUUCCGUGAAUGUCAUGUAAUGAAGUUUAAACAAUUACGCUUUCAAAAAUGUCUCACUUUCUGUGAUCUCGAAAAUAGCUCAAAUUAUAAGCGUCUUACUGAGAGUUGAACUUUAAUGUAAGGAGAAGAAACGAUGCUGAUACUUUUAGGCUGCGUCGAAAUAUUGUGUUGGCAAAAUUCAAAGAAAUGGGCAUUGCCGAUACACUUUUCUAACGAAUCUUUACUGCAUAUUUCCAGAUCUGCUCUUACAUUUAGGGAACAUACUCAAACGAAUUUGGUUUCACACGUAAUCAAUUCUGGCAUUUAAUUAGAUACAUAAUUACUUUGAACCGAGUAUAAAUCUGUUCAUGUCACUUAUUCAUUUUAUAUCACCUGUUGGUGGUAGGUUCACUUUUGUUGCUCAGCAAAGUAUCUUCUUGCAUGUGGUGAAAACAUUAACAUUUAAACGAUCGAAUCUUCAAGAUGUAAGAAAUUAAAGUCACGCAAAGCGGAAAGCAGAAGCCUUAAAGUGUCAGAUAAAUUAGAUACAGCUACAUUGAGUGUAAAUAUUGUGGAAAAUAUUGAAGAAAUUUCAAGAUGCCUCAGAGAAGCAAAAUUCACUGCUCUCUUUGAAGCACACGGUUUGUGGUAUUGUAAGCAUUAGGAUCGGUUCGAAGAGAAAGAACACAAGUUUAAAUAUGUAUUAAAUGCAAUGCAUAGUUCAGAGUAAAAUGUGAAGCGAAAAGGAAGACUUAUCUUGAUCAAGCACUUUCUGUAUAAAAAUUAUUUACAACAUAUGAAAGAAAUAUGGUAACAGGAAAGAAAUGGCACAGGAAACUGCGAUUAAAUCUGCAGCAGAUAUUAAGUCCUGUGAAGGUUUUAUACAGCGUUAUUUCUAUAUUCCAGCCCCUUCUAUGAAUGAUGCCGAUAUCACUCAUUCAUGAAAUUGCAUGAAAAUUUAAUAUCUGAGAUUACCUAUGCGUGGAUGAACGAAAGAAAUUUAUAUAAAAUUCUGAUUCGGAGGUGUGUUUUAUAGCAGUUAUAUGAAUAUGGCGCUGUAAAAAUAUGUAUUUGCAUAAGGACAAAAUAACUUCAGGCAAAAAUUCAUGAUGAAUAUACAAGAUGUUACCUUUCGAAAAGUAUGUAAACAUAAGGUUAGAAGUAAACAGACAAGGGAGAAUCUACACAGAGUUUUAGUUAAAAUUCUGUACAACAAUCAAAAUAAAAUCCUGUACAACUUCACACCAACCAAAAUAUUUUGUCAGGAUGUGCGCAAAAAUACUCAUUAACAUGUUUAAUGUCGUUCACGUUGGAAAAUAUUGAACAUCCUCGUUGUAUGACCUUCACCAAAAUUUUGAGGCGCGUAAGUGAUUUUUUGGAAAAACUAGGAGGUCGUCUGAGAAUCUUUUUUUAAGUUUCGUUGAUUUCAAAGAAAUGUUUAUUACAGUUACGAUCCCAGCCAAACACAAGACAUUCGUAAAAAAAGAUCGCACUCCCUGCCAGUUAAUGCAGGGAGAUAUAGAGAGAUACAGUUGACGAUCCAAUAAUUUAUCUGUAUUAUAAUAUAACAUAUAUCAAAUUUCGCUUAAUAUACGGAAUUUUGUCUAUCUUUUAAACAUAACUCUGAUGAGACAUAUAUAUGUGAAUUAAAUUGUUUAUAAAUCCAAUAAUGUAUAUAAAUCGAAAUAUAUUGUUGACUCUCUUGGUUAUUCAAUAUUUAAAAAAAUGUUAUAUUAUAUUAUAUAAUAUUCAUAGUAUAUUAUGUUAUAUUAUAAUAUAGAUAAAUUAUUAGAUUGGCAAGUGUAUCUCUCUAAUUUAUUGUUUAUAUAUACAUUUACAUAUAUAUAUAUAUGUAUGUAUGUAUGUAUGUAUGUAUGUAUGUAUGUAUGUAUGUAUGUAUGUAUGUAUGUAUAUAUAUAUGGGUGUGUGUAUGUAUGUAUAUAUAAAUAUACAUAUAUAUAUAUAUGCAUACACACACACACAAAUGCAGACAGACAAACAGAUAGAUAGAUAAUAUGUGAAGAUACUGAUAACAUUGAUGACGACCGCAAAGAUUAUUACGACGUCAUUGAUGAUGAUGGCCGUGGGAAUGAUGAAAGCGAUGACGAGUAUGAUAAAGAAAGAUAUCAUAGAAAUAAUAGCAGUAAAGAUCCUCUCUGUUGAGGGCACAACACCUGAAAUUUUCGGGGUGGGUUCUAAUCGAUUACAUCGACCACAGUACUUGGCCAGAUGUUAUGCAACGGACCUCGAAAGAAUCAGUGGCAAAAUCAAUUUCAGAACAAUUUCAACUUAGAAUGCAAAGUCGGAUUAAAUGCCGAUAAGCAUUUUGUCUGAUGCAAGAAUCAUUAUGUUUGAUCGCUAAUCCCCAAAAGCAAAAUAAUGGUUUCAAAUUUUCGCACAAAGCCAACAAUUCUGCGGUGGGUAACUCGAUUGCAUCACCAGCAAUACUGAAAUAGUAUUUGUUUUAUUGACUACAAAAGAUGAUAGGCUAAGUUGUCGCAUCGGAACUUUAACUCCGAACUUCAAGAUAGAAGAGCUACCGCUAAAUAUGUUGUUCGGUAGGUGAAGGAUCUUACAGCUACAGUUAUAGUAUUAGUGGUGGUGGUGAUGGUAGUAUAGUAGUAGUAGUAGUAGUAGUAGUAGUAGUAGUAGUAGUAGUAGUAGUAGUAGUAGUAGUAGUAGUAGUAGUAGCAGCAGCAGCAAUUUUGCCACCUGCGCAGGAGACGGGAAAGAGGCGAUUAAAUCGACGCCAGUGUUUCACUGGUACUUAAUGUAUCGACCAGAACGAAUGAAAUAACAAUAAUAAUAAUAAUAAUAAUAAUAAUAAUAAUAAUAAUAAUAAUAAUAAUAAUAAUAAUAAUAAUAAUAAUAAUAAUAAUAAUAAUAACAACAACAAUAACAAUAAUAACAUUAAUAAUAAUAAUAAUAAUAACACUAACUCACAGGAAAGGUAUAAGUACCUGGGGAUAAGCGAAAGAGAUGGUACACAACUCUCCACAAGAAAGCUGCAAAUACCUGUGGAUAAACGGAGAUGGUAAACAACCCUCACAAGAAAGCUCCACAUUCCUGGGGAUAAACGAAGGAAAUAGUAUACAACAUGCUACUAUGAAAGAAACAAUACGAAAGGAGUAUUACAGAAAAAAUACAACUCAUACUAAAACCUGAAUUCAACUCCAAAUACCGCAUCGAAGUCAUUAGUGUACUGGCACAUCCAGUAGUCUGAUACAGUUUUAACAUCCUUAACAAAAUUCCCAAGCCUGGAUAGCACGACAAGAAGACUACUAUCACCUAAAACCAUGCGCCACUCAAAAGCAGACGUUCAUCAUGUGUACCUUCCUAUAAGUAAUAGGGGAAGGGGAAUGAUGCAGUUAGAACUGUGCUAUAAGACCUCGACAAUAGCAAUGGACAAGUACUUAUCUAGUAAUGAGGACUGGAUGCAAACACGAAUGCAGCAAACCAUCACAAUCAAUUGUCAACGAAGCUUGAAAGCUCGCAAGGGAACUUGACAUUAACUCUGAAUUAGAAACCACUGCCAUGAAGAAAGCAAAACGAAUGAAACAGACUGCAAAAAAGAACAGGCAGAAACAAAUUGAUGCGUGGUGGAGCCAGACAUGGCAUCUUAAAACGGGAACUGUUCCUGUCUUUAAGGAGAUAAGGAGAAGAGGCUUGAAUCCCGUACUCCAAUAUGGGUCUCACCAACGUGACAUAGAGCGGUAGGAAUAUGGCUGCUGUGAGCAUCCCGAAUGACCGUCGAAUCAAGAACAGAAUUCCGCGUGCUUUGUUGGCAGCAUGGACGCACUGGCCCAAAGGCGAAAAGGAAGAAUCCACCAAGAUACCCAGGUCCUUUACCUGAUCGGUCCUCUCCAGCAGCAGACGACCGGGCUCGAAAUCAAGAUGAGUUGCAGGAGGAGAGCCAACAAACAGAUGACAGCACAUUGACACGUUCAGACACAGGUCCCAUUCGUUAGACCAUCUCCAAAUUUGGUGGAGGCAUCGACGAAGAUCCUCUAUAUCACCGCGAGGAGCGACCAGUUUGACAUCGUCGGCAAAUAGAAGGGUGUGUUGCGUGAGGUCGUCGGGCAAAUCAUUUAUGAAGACUAAGAACAAUGAGGACCCAAGCACUGAACCUUGAGGCACGCCACUGCUCGCACUGGAGACGUCGGACCGCGAACCAUUAACUUGGACUUGGAAGGAGAGAUCUGAGAGGAAGGCACCAACCCAACUUACAAUAUCCGGAUGGAAACUAUAUGCUUGAAGCUUGACAAGUAAUAGGCGAUGGUUUACUGAGUCAGAAGGCUUUGGCAAAGUCCAAUAAAACGAUGUAAACAGCAUUACUAUCAUCGAGGAUGCGCGUCACCAAUUCUUUCCUUACCAGUAAGUUGGUCAAGCAUGAUCUCUUCGGUACGAAGCCGUGUUGGGAAUCAGAGAUAGAGGCUGUGUUUUGGAGGUGGAGCAUCAUACUUUUCUUAAGGUUGGUUUCGAACAUCUUGCUGAUUAUUGAUGUAAGGGAAACCGGUCGGUAGUUAAGCGAGUCUUCGCGGCUCCCUUUCAUGAAAAUUGGGCAGAUUAUCGCUGUUCUCCAGUCCGCAGGUAUAACACCCGUCGCCAAUGACAUAUUGAAUAGACGUGUUAAGGGCUCGCAGAUGACCGGAGCCAACGCCUUGAUAACCCGUGGGUGUAUGCCGUCAGGGCCGUGACCCUUGUUGACAUCGAGGCCUUGAAUAACGCGUUCGACUUCGUCCCGCGUGAUGACCAAUCGAAGAAAUGGAGGUACCGAUAUAUCAAAUGGAGGGGGUUCACGACCAUCAUCUUGUUUGAAAAUAGUUGAAAAUGUCUCGGCAAAUAAUUGACUCUGUUGAUAAGGGUUCUCAAUCGAUACGCCUGUUGAGCCUACCAACGUUGCAAUUUGGUUGUUCAAGCGGGAAUUCCGUUGGCAAAGAAGGUUUUUGGAUUGCUACUGGCGUUCGCCGCGAUUUUGUAUUCAUAUCUGAAGCGUUCUUCCUUUUCAAUUUUCACGGCCCGGUCUCGUUGAGUUUUGUACACCUCAAAAGCUGCAGUCGAAUCCAGAUUUUUGAAUUCAGCCCAAGCAAUAUCUCUGAGUCGAAGUUCUCGUUUAACCUUCUUCGUCACCCAGGGCUUGUAUUUCUUCUUCUUGGGAAGCCCAACGGGAACUGCCUGGUCAGUCAAACAGAUUACAUAUGCUUUGAAGGAUGACCAUAGUUCGUCAACUGAGGACAACGUCAUCAGGGAUCGCCAGUCCAGAAGCGCGGAAGCCUCGGUUAGAAUUUCAAGAUUAAUUGCAGAGAAGACUCUACGUGGCAGCGAAGUAGUCGUAAGCGUAGAAAAAGUUGUGUGCAUGACGAACUUCAGGACCGCAUGAUCACUCUUGGCAAGAGGGGCGCACACAGAUACGUCUGACACUGAUCUGGUAUAGCGGGAGAAUACCAGAUCCAACAUAGAUGGCUGCUGCCCAGACCGAUGCCUUGACGGAUAUUCAACAUGUUGCCAUAGAAAACAAUCUUCAGCCACGUCAAGAAGGGCCUAGCCGAACCGGGAAGAUGAUGUACAAAUUGAUGCGGGCCAAUCGAUCGUGGGAGCGUUGAAGUCUCCUAAUAUCAAACAGUCAUGAGAAGCUGAAACGAAUCUUAUCGCUUCGAGUAAAUGAGCAUCGUCCUUGGGUCGACAAGAGGCGGCAUGUAGACAGCUAACACGGGUAGGCAAAACCCGGAUAGGCUCAGCUUGCAAUAGACGGCAUCAAAUUUUGUUGUAGGUUGAGCAUUUGUGGGUAGAAUACCGCUGGACGGUUUGAGAUCAGAUUUAACAUAGACAGCAACACCUCGUCCUCGUCUUUUUUCUCUGUCACAUCUGAAGAGGGCGUAGCCCUGUAGGUGGAUUUCUGAGUUCUUUACUGCUGGAGUCAGCAGCUCUCGAUGAUAGCUAUCACAUCAGGGGAAUCACGCAUGGCCAGUGUAAAUAGUUCGCUGAACUUUGGAAAUAAGGAGCACGGGUUGGUAUAGAUGAUGCUGAGCUGUGAAGUUUGAGGGGCGGGAGUUGGGAAACAAACAGAAUAAGGGGUUUCAGAGAUAGCAUCGUUGACGGGGGUAUCUACUUUACUUCGAUUCGCCCUAAAUUCACUCUCCCUGUCAGCAGUACAGCAUGCGACCAGAGGUAGGACUUGAUUAUUUGUCCAUCUUGGAUGCGUAAACUCUUCUUUCCCAUCUGUUUUCUCAUCUUCAGUUCGGAUAUUAUGUUUCGCCGGCGAAUUCUCUCUCUCAGUGAGUAUUCCUCGCGAAAACCCAUAUUGGGGUCCUCCCAGGCAUGCAUCUGAGCUCUGUUCAGAAAGGUUGAAGCCUCCUGAUCGGAAGAAAAGAUUACUCCUAUUGGGCGUGGUCUAGUGUCUGAGGUUGAGUUCGCUUGGAAUCUUCCUAGUCGAGCGACCUUAUGGAUACUGACAUUUUCGUUGACAGACAACAAUUCUCCAACUAAAACGGAAACAAAAAUUUAUGUCUUCUUUUAGUCGGUUUAUGCCUGUAUCACAGGUGGAUUCAGCUUUACCAUAAAUUAUUGCUGAUCUUGAGUGGGCAAAAUGGCCUUUCUGUUCUCUACUAUGAGCUGCGGCAUUCUAUUCCUCGUUGGAUGAUUAGGGAUAGCUAGGAUAUUUAGGAGAGUUCUUGUCAUCUAAUAUUACUUAUUGUAGCCCGAUAGGAUGGUCCUUGGUAUCUGAAGUUACUUAUAGUAGCCCAACGUUAAGAAUGUUUUUCUUGUCCAACAUUCUAAUUUGUUGAGCGUAUGUGAAAAGUAAUAAUAAUAAUAACAAAUUAAUAAUAAUAAUAAUAAUAAUAAUAAUAAUGAUAAUAAUAAUAAUAAUAAUAAUAAUAAUAAUAAUAAUAAUGAUGAUGAUGUUGAAAAUAAUAAUAAUAAUAAUAAUAAUAAUAAUAAAAAUAAUAAAAAUAAUAAUACUAUUAAAUAAUAAUAAUAAUAAUAAUAAUAAUAAUAAUAAUAAUAAUAAUAAUAAUAAUAAUAAUAAUAAUAAUAAUAAUAAUAGUAAUAAUGAUAAUAAUAAUAAUAAUAAUAAUAAUAAUAAUAAUAAUAAUAAUAAUAAUAAUAAUAAUAAUAGCCGAAAUACUGAUAUUGGCCAAGCAACAACCAAUCAGUUGCUGAAAAUCUCAAGACUGAAAGCAGAGACUAAAUUUUGCAUAUUCGUGGCACAACAUCAAAGCUUGACUAACAAAAUCACCAGGAUAAUGUUCGUCAAAACGUUCUGACAGUAAAAGCAUAUUCUGGCCAACCAAUAUAUACGUCUUGUCAUCUAGAGCUUCUCUGCUCUAGAUGACAGGAUGACACUCGGCGAAAAAUAGAAACAGAAUUGAAAGAAAAUGCUAAUGAAAAUAACGACGACGAUGAUGAUGAUGAUGAUGAUGAUGAUGAUGAUGAUGAUGAUGA